rnacentral:lncRNA from 1 species
CCUUCACCCCCCACCCCAUCCGCCGCCUCAUAGGACCGUCUGGGGCCGAGGGCCCAGAAAGCUGGGGCUCCAGCCUCCUUGUCUGUACAUGUGUUGUGGGGGACUGGGUGCCCUUCAGCGUGGCUGCCCUCGGACACAGGAGAGGGUCCGGAGGCCAUCAGGGUCGGGGCGCCAUCCGGGCCCCGGAGGGCACUGCGCCCAGCUGGCAGAGGGGCCCGGGGUGGGGGCUCAGAGGAGGGCAGAGAAGGCAGCGGGCAGACCACAGGCCGAGAUGGACCCAGGCUGGGAGCAUAGUGGGAGCAGAAGCAUGGGGCUGCCAUGUGGGAGCCACACGGGAGCAAAUGUCCAAGAACUCUGAGGCUGGGGUGACCGGUCCAGCUGGCCAAGACAAGCCGUCCCUGCUGGGGCUGCCGGGGGGUGUUAGCGUCCCGCGGGGGACACAGCGAGACCAGGAACAGAGCCCAGAUCCAGGACGCACGUCCUGACCACGUAGGGCCAGUGUCUCCCAGGGUCCCCCCCGGCCCCCUGCCCACAACCAGGGAGCUGUGCAGGGUCUGGGGAGGGGACAGCUGUUUGCAGCUCCACAUUCCAGACUCAGGGUCAAGCAUUUGGGGGAGGCUGUUUUUCUUAAAAAAUGUCAUUUGAAAAUAAACACUGUCGCCGGCGCUUUUCUGCUGGCCCUGGAUCCCCAGGGAGCAGCGGGCAGGCAGCGCCUGGGAGUCCAGGUGGCCGGGGGGCUUCCAGCCAGAGCGGCCUCUGACCUCCCUGAGCGGGACGCACCGCAGCCACGGGGCCGGAGACUCUGGAGGCUGGGUAGCCCUGUUGCCACCCCAGGUAGGGGAAAACUGCACCCUGGCCAGCUAGCGGGCCCGGGAGGUGGCCUUCCUCCCGCAGGUGGCCUUCCUCCCGCAGGUGGCCCUGUCCCCAGGGCAGUACCAGUUCCAGCUGGGCCUCAUCCCCCGUGGAUGUCUGGGGCUGUCUAGGGGCUCCCGGCCUGACCUCUCCCUGGUAUUGUUCCUACAUGCCUGGGGCUCUGGGGGGCCAAGGCCCCUCCUCCUUCCACCUCUGCUCUUUGCUUUGCAGGGAAGGGGACGAGGGGCCCCACCCUCCCUGGCCCAGGCUGGGGGCCCUGGAACUGGUUGGCUUUGGGGCAUCCUAGGGCCUCGUGUAGCCUCAGGCCCUGGCAGCCCCCUACAGCCUCUGCUGAGUCAACAGGGCCCUUUCUCCUCUUGGAACAAAGCCCAGCUGCACCCUUCCCAGGGGUCCCCUGCGCCUGGGCCUCCCAUGGCCACUGUGGGGCCACCUGCCCAUGGACCCCUGCUCCCAGGCAGCUGCAGAACCUGAGGCUUCUAGCUCCCACAGGGCCCUG